GAUGAACGCUGACAGAAUGCUUAACACAUGCAAGUCAACUUGAACUUCGGUUUGGGUGGCGGACGGGUGAGUAACGCGUAAAGAACUUGCCUCACAGAUAGGGACAACAUUUGGAAACGAAUGCUAAUACCUGAUAUUAUGAUUAUAUGGCAUCGUAUAAUUAUGAAAGCUAUAUGCGCUGUGAGAGAGCUUUGCGUCCCAUUAGCUAGUUGGAGAGGUAACGGCUCACCAAGGCGAUGAUGGGUAGCCGGCCUGAGAGGGUGAUCGGCCACAAGGGGACUGAGACACGGCCCUUACUCCUACGGGAGGCAGCAGUGGGGAAUAUUGGACAAUGGACCAAGAGUCUGAUCCAGCAAUUCUGUGUGCACGAUGAAGUUUUUCGGAAUGUAAAGUGCUUUCAAUUGGGAAGAAAAAAAUGACGGUACCAACAGAAGAAGUGACGGCUAAAUACGUG
rnacentral:rRNA from 1 species